GAUGUAACGACCGACGGAUGUGAUCGAUGGAUGGACGACACGACGUGACGAUGACACAAAAAUUAGAGGCACGCCAUCCAAACAAAGGUGACACGUCGCCCAAGUGACGACAACCCACCACCUAGGUCGGCGCGCGACGGUCAAGGAGGUAGUGCACAUAGCCCGAGACAAUGUACACUGCCCCAGCCUGCUGCCAUUACAGGCCUAGCUAGCCACACGCGCAGGCCUAUAGUGUGUAGGGCUACGACGCACAAGCUACCGUACACAAGCCUACUACGCACAGGCCUACUACGUGCAGGCCUAUGCACGCACAGGGCGCAUGGAGUCGCUCUCGUCUGC
rnacentral:lncRNA from 1 species